rnacentral:misc_RNA from 1 species
GAUGAAGAACGUAGCGAAAUGCGAUAAGUAAUGUGAAUUGCAGAAUUCAGUGAAUCAUCGAAUCUUUGAACGCACAUUGUGCCCGCUAGUAUUCUGGCGGGCAUGCCUGUCCGAGCGUCAUUUCAACCCUCAAGCCCCCGGGCUUGGUGUUGGGGAUCGGCGAGCCUCCGCGCCCGCCGUCCCCUAAAUCUAGUGGCGGUCUCGCUGUAGCUUCCUCUGCGUAGUAGCACACCUCGCACUGGGAAACAGCGCGGCCACGCCGUUAAACCCCCAACUUCUGAACGUUUGACCUCGGAUCAGGUAGGAAUACCCGCUGAACUUAAGCAUAUCAAUAAGCGGAGGA